CAGUGAAUAUCGUUGUGUUAGUGAGCUGAGCAGUUACUGAGCACAGGGCUAUAGAGUCGGGUUUAAAGUAAAUUCGGCUCCAACUCCAGGAAAUUUUAAGGUAGCGACUCCAACUUCAGACUCCGAUUCCACCCUCCUCCUCCUACCACAGAUGUUGCGCCGACUAAACGAAACUUUCCAACUUUCCUCCCUCUUCCCCUCUUCUGCAGUACAGUGGUAUGCGACUCAGACCCAGCCACACCACACCACAACACACCACACCACACACAGCUACAUCACACACCACAACACACACAACAUAUGACACCACAUGGGUCGCAUUAUCCCCUUGGCCCCGAAAAAGACAUUUUCGUCCCCUUAUCUUUACUUGCAAGCCUACGGUAAACCACAGCUUCGUUUGCCAUUUCUGUCGGCGAGGGCAUAUCUGACACCUGACAUCGACUCGUCAGCAGUAACUGGCAUCUUUAGCCCCCCUCCCUCCCACCGGUAUCAACAAUUAAAGCUGUCCAACGUGGUACUUGGGAGUGACGUAAUGCCUCGGCCUUCAUUUUCAAGUGACCAUGGAUGCUUCACCAGGACAAGCCUCACCAUAUACGGCUCCUCUGUUUUGUGGGAACAGGAGGCCACAGUGUGAUUCCCUGGCAACAAGUGAUGUAGAUGAAGCAGAUGGCCCAGAAUGUGUUCCUCCCCUGGACAUGAAUUCAGUGGAGAUGACGGUGAUGAUGCCACGGUAGUUCUCGAGGCUGAUGGUACACCGUGUUCGAGAAGAAGCAGAACAACGACGUAAGAGAAGCGUCGUCUUCACUGGAAGAACAUACAGAGGAGGGAGUGCGCAGCUGCUGUACCAGGUUUUAACAGCGGAGGAGAUGAAGAGGAACAAGUGUUGCUAAAACUUAUUGAUUACUUUCGCAAUUUUUUCACUUCUGAUCUUAUGGAUUUACUUGUUGAGCAGUCUAAUCUUUAUUCAGUGCAAGAAGAUCCAAGUCAAAGGAAAGAGGAAGGCCAAGCAAAUCCUUUCAGAAUUAAGAAAAAGGUUGGAAGGGCAACAAACUCUAUUCCGGAAAAGGAUGUCAGAGGAGAUUUUGUAGGUCACUUUCCAGCAGGUUCAACAAAAAAGAGCCAAAUGUAAACUGCCUGGGUGCAGUGGCAAAUUAGUUUUCAUACCAAGUAGGUUUUUUUCACACAAAUAAGUGCUUCUGUAUGAUGGGUUCUAUAGAUGAAAGUUCUAUUAUUCAUGCGAUUUUCAGUUUUCUUUUUAUUGUGUGCUUUUGUAACAUUAUAGAGUAUGCUCCUGGGAAAUAUGUUUUGUCUUUUGUAAGAGUUUGAUUUUUUUUCUAUUGUUCAAAAAUGUUCUUUUGUGCCUGAAGGGAAAACUCCGUCCCUUUUAAAAAAGUAUAUAUAAAAAUGCAUUUGAGAGGAAUUUUCUAUCCCAUGUGAUGUAUUCCUUCAUAAUCAUUUGAGAGGAAUUUUCUAUCCUAUGUGAUGUAUUCCUUCAUAAUCAUUUGAGAGGAAUUUCCUAUCCUAUGUGAUGUAUUCCUUCAUAAUCAUUUGAGAGGAAUUUUCUAUCCUAUGUGAUGUAUUCCUUCAUAAUCA